AUUGAACGCUGGCGGCGUGCCUAACACAUGCAAGUCGAGCGGUAACAGGUGUAGCAAUACAUGCUGACGAGCGGCGAACGGGUGAGUAAUGCUUCGGAAUCUGCCCAUGUAGUGGGGAAUAACCAGCCGAAAGGUUGGCUAAUACCGCAUACGACCUACGGGUGAAAGCAGGGGAUCGCAAGACCUUGCGCUAUUGGAUGAGCCGAAGUCGGAUAGCUUGUUGGUAGGGUAACGGCCUACCAAGGCGACGAUCCGUAGCUGGUCUGAGAGGACGACCAGCCACACUGGGACUGAGACACGGCCCAGACUCCUACGGGAGGCAGCAGUGGGGAAUAUUGGACAAUGGGGGCGAACCCUGAUCCAGCGACGCCGCGUGUGUGAAGAAGGCC
rnacentral:rRNA from 1 species